rnacentral:lncRNA from 1 species
CUUCUCUCGAAAUAUGUACAAUUCACUAAACACGAUCAUUCAUUGACCAUAUAAAUUAAAAUGCAUGGAAUACAAUAGAAGAAACACAUGAAAUAAACAAAUCAAUAUCAAAUGGCAAAUAUUAAAAUUAAUCAAGGCUAGAUUAAACUACAACCAUAAAUCCAAAACAAAUAACUUAGCCCAUUUUAUACAAAUGAUAAAAAUGAGAAUAUUUUGUACAAUACAUUGCAAGUAUGGCAAAAUAAUUAAGAAAAUACAAGUUAUAGAUACAACUCAAUUUGAAACUUGACUUUGAUUUUUUCAAAUAUUUCUCCACCUCCUUGAAUGAUUCUCCUUUGUGUUCUAUGAUUUGCUCCCAAAAAUAUCAAGGAAAAUAAAAGAAAACGAAGAAGAAAAAAAAGAAAAAAAGAAAGAAAAUGAAAAGGAAAGUAAAAAGAAAGAGAAUAAGGCUAGGGUUUUCU